rnacentral:rRNA from 1 species
UGACGGGGCCGCACAAGCGGUGGAGCAUUGUGGUUUAAUUCGAUGAUACGCGAAAGACCUUACCCGGGCUUGACAUGCAUCAGACAGGCGUAGAGAUACGCCCUCCGCGAGGCUGGUGCACAGGUGCUGCAUGGUUGUCGUCAGCUCGUGUCGUGAGAUGUUGGGUUAAGUCCCGCAACGAGCGCAACCCCUACCGUGUGUUACCAUCAUUAAGUUGGGGACUCGCACGGAACUGCCGGUGAUAAACCGGAGGAAGGUGGGGAUGACGUCAAGUCCUCAUGGCCCUUAUGGGUAGGGCUUCACACGUCAUACAAUGGUCGGUACAGAGGGUUGCCAAGCCGCGGGGCGGAGCCAAUCCCACAAAGCCGAUCGUAGUUCGGAUUGUUCUCUGCAACUCGAGAGCAUGAAGUCGGAAUCGCUAGUAAUCGCAGGUCAGCAUACUGCGGUGAAUACGUUCCCGGGUCUU